rnacentral:misc_RNA from 1 species
AAAAAUAUAGCAAGCAGAAUCGGGAAAAUGACGUGGGCCGCCGCCGCAGCAAGUCGCUUUCAAAUUCCGGCAAUGGAUGUCGCCGCCCUACGCAGAAGAGCUCCGGUAGUGUUCGGAGUUGGCUGUGUAUCAAUUGCUGGGGCAAAGUUUUGUGGUUCUUCAUCUGCUCGAUCAAAACCCUUCGCUUGCUUAAGCAUUUCCACUGAUGCCAGUAUAAAGGAGGCUGUUCACACUGAAAAGGCUCCGGCAGCACUGGGGCCAUACUCUCAAGCCAUCAAAGCUAAUAAUUUUGUAUUCGUCUCUGGAUGUCUGGGUCUUAUUCCAGAGACCGGGAAGUUUGUCUCAGAAAGUGUGGAGGAUCAAACAGAGCAGGUUCUCAAGAAUAUGGGGGAGAUACUUAAAGCAAGUGGUGUUAGCUACUCCUCAGUUGUUAAGACAACUAUCUUGUUAGCUGAUCUGAAUGACUUCAAGAAAGUGAAUGAGAUUUAUGCAAAAUAUUUUCAAGCUCCUGCACCAGCUCGGGCAACUUAUCAGGUAGCAGCACUGCCAAUGAAUGCAAGGAUUGAAAUUGAGUGCAUAGCAGCAUUAUGAUUCUCCCUUACCUAUUCAUUCAACAACUUAUUAGACCUCGAAAAGGAGAAAGUCUGCUGACUUCCUAGCCUACAUUCGUAGAUUUAAUAAGCCUGGAGUUAGCUACUAGUCCAGGAGCCCUUGUCUAACUUCGCGGAGCUGAGAAUAAACUUUAUUUAAGAACGUAUUGUAACUGAUCUGCAUGAGUAUUACAUAUACAAUUGUGCUACUCUAUUGGGAAGAACAAACUUGGUUAUAU